GCGUAUGAACAACCCCACACACGCAAACACAAGUUAGUUUGAGUGUCGGAUCUUACAGGCAGUCUGCAAAUCUGCCAGUUAGCGGGUAAAGAGGCGAACACAAAUCACUACGCUAGCAUUCAGGACGACUGGAGACGGUGUAGAGAAACAAAUAUUAUGGAGCAGUCUGAAGGUGAGGCAGUAAAUUAGUGAAGCCAAACUUGCUGUCGCAAUAUUUGCUGAUAAAUACUUAAUAUCCAUCAUGUACCCUGUUCACCACCUCAGCAGCUAGUAUAACAUUAACAAAGUUAAAUAGGGAGCUGUAUGAUGCUAGCACAAGUAGGCUAUUUUUUAAGCAGUCUCACAGUCCUGUCUGACCACCACUGUCUACCACUUACCACUGUCUUUUUUUGCCACACAGCGCAACAUUAAGAUGCAGGAAAGGAAAAGGCAGCAGAAGAUUGACACCUUUUUCAAAAGAUCUCUUGUCUGUUGCCAGAGACCUUAGUUGUUUCAGAGGGAACACAGGGAUUCACAGGUAUGAGCCCAGAGGUUCGUGGUUUCUUUGACCAAGAUGAAACAGUUGCUCGUCUCCUCCUA